AUUCCUUACAAAUAUGAUUAGUGUCUAUGUGUGUCAUCUGAGCCAUUGCUACAAAUAUGGAAACAAGAUAAGGUGCAUUAAGGGACAAGAGACUCCCCUACCCAUUUCCAGGUUGACUUGGAGCAAUGCUUUUCACUCUACCAGCUAUGAAUAUACCUAGCCCAUGUUUUUCCACCCUCCCCACAAGGAUAUCAUAAGACCUGGCCAAAUGCCUCGUGGGCAU
rnacentral:lncRNA from 1 species